UUUUGCUGAUUCACCCUGCGGCCUUUACUCAUCAAGGACCAGGGAAGCAGCAGUCCUCUGGGCAGUCGCCAAGUGUGUGUCCUUGUGGAGCUUACAGUCACACUGAUGCCUCCUCGUGACUUUCAGGGUUUGCUUUUAUUAACCCACACUUUACCAAACAGGAAGCAAGGACUUUGGUCAGAAGACCAGCAAGCUUACCAGUGUGGAUCCAGGACUUGAACGCAAGUCUGCAGGAAGUACAGGGCAGGUGGCCUGGGGCACCACCUCCCCAUGGUGGUGCUUCCUGUCUAAGUGCCAUCAAGGUCCCUGCAUGUCACUUGUCUGUCCGUGGAAGAGCAGCCGCCCGCUUCCUCCCCACUGCGCAUCAUGUCUGGGGCCUGGUGAGGGACAGCUGUGGGCCAAAUCCAGGCCAGUUACAAGAGUGCUUUCCUCCUCUCCAAAAUGAAGUCUUGGAAUGUAGGGUGCUCUCCACAGAGCCGUGAUUGGAGGUUUCCUCCCUCUUAAUAAUCCUUUUAAAGAAAAGUCGCAGUAACACCCGCAGGAUCUGUGAUCAACAGGCUGAGAAACACUUCCCCACGGUCCCGGCAGCUGGGAGAUGAGCGAAGCAGAGGAGCAGCCAUUGCGUGCAUCUCCAAACACCUUCUCCCAGGAUGGCGUUCCCUCCAGCUCUGCAGCCGGGGUGGGCGUGGGGUUCCACUCUGCCAGCAUUGAACUGCGGUGACAGUUUCAGCCAAGCGGACGCGCUCCACAAAUAUGCAUUGACCCACGCUCUGCCCAGACCUGUGCUGGGUGCUCAGGGAACAGAGAUGGGACACUUCCCUGUGCUCCAAAGCGGUGGGAAAGCCUCUGCCUUGGAAAAGUCUUUCACUUCCAGCUGUUGGAGAGACUGACAGACGCACGGAAGCAGUCCCUGAGCAGGACGGAAGAGCCCGGCUGAUUCUCCCUCGCUGUGAGCCCUUGGGUGCAGCUCUCAAGGAGGAUGUCUUCAUAAGUGUCCUGCCUGCUAAUUUUGUCUCAGAGCUACUUCCCAAGCAAUCUGACCUGCAGAGCAAUAUCUUCCUGGAUUUGAAGAUGAGCAUCCCAACUCCCUAGAGAAAAGCCUUGGAAAAAGAAAUGACUCUAACUGGCAUAUGGUUGUAGUCAGAACAUGUUUCUCUCAUAAAUUAAACAGAGAAUGGGAAGAUCCAAGCUCCAGCUUUCAAAGACACACAUGACUAGAGAGCAUCUUUUUGGCUUUGAUUCAAUAUCAUGAUUAUGGGAAGGGAAUGGCAUAUAUAGUGAAAACAAAAUCGAACCGUAUAUUUGCUGAGAAAAUAUUUGCUUAAUCAGGGAAGUCUCUGUAAGCAAAGGCAUGCACACACAAAGUUCUUACAUCUGACAGGUGGGAAAAGCAAGCUGCAGACCAUGUUUUCUGUCCGGGCUGUGGCCAUGCACAGAGAGAGGGGUGUCCUUUGGUGCUGGUUCUGUGUAAAUGCUUCCCAGCUGGUGGGAACUGCUCUGCACCCGCCAGAGCCACUUUCUAAGAAAGGAAGAAUUUUAAGAGGGGCUUUUUGCAAAGUCAGCAGUAGACCUUCCAGCUGCUUGGAAGAUGUUUUGGCAGGGCUGGUGUGGGGCAAUAAUAGCUGACAGGAGUGGGAAUGUGAUUAGAGAGUUCCCACCUGCAGAGCUGAGCCAACAGACAUGUGCUAAUCUUUGCUGACAUCAAGGUGAGAAGAGUCUUAAGCACCCUUCUCAUGAAAUGCAAUGCCUCAAUGCUGAAUAGAGGCCUGUGGCUCAUGGGCACACAUCCCGUUUGCAUUUCGUAGGUUGAAACCAGGCAGUGUAGGAUCACAGACCCUCUGUUUCAGACCUUAAUAGAACCUCAAAUCUUACUACUGCUACUCAGUGCUCUAAAGCCUUCCAUGGAUGUAAGUUGGCUGGUGGUAUUCUCUUCAGUCAUCUUCGGGGCCUCCUCAAGGAACACAUUUCUGGUGCUCACUAGUAUUUCUGUUCUGCUUUUAGGAGCACGGGGUGCUCUUUCUGUGGCCUUGAAGUUAAACAAGGCUGUGUGAUUGGGUUUAGCCAAGUACAAUGUCAGGAAAAAUGACGUCAGUUAUUGCUGGGUGCAAAUGUUGAAGAACUGGAGAGCCUUUCUCUGUGGUUCCUGUUGUUGACGCCAGAGAACUUAGGUUGGAGUCUUGGAGGUUCUACUUAUUAACUGUGUGUGUUUUGAGGCCCAGAGAGGCCAUUAACUUGCUUUUCGCCUUUAGAGAAAGGAGACAAAAUAGUAUGUGUCGUACACAGUGGUUUUGCUUGACUUGUGGUAGGUCAAGUAAAAAGAUUAUUUCUUAUUCUCUCCACCCCAACUCUUCAACAACAUGAGAAUACUUGCUUUUGCCUCCAAAUGCUCUGCAUUUGUAGACAAGGAAUAUCUCCUGAAUUCUUUAUUUUAAACUUGAGUUUUUGAUAAAUUGCAGUAUCAUAUGGGACAUUAUUGGGACCCGUCAGAAAGCAGCCUGGAGUUUAUAUAUGUCAAAGAGGCUGACCUUGGCUUGCAAAAUGAGAAAAGUGAGCAUUCCUGAAAGUCAGAAAGAUGAAUAGAAUAUGAGUAUGAAAAUAGGAAGACAAAUGCUCUAAAACCAAGCUCUUACAUGUGUAGAGUGUAAAUCUUAAAUGCAAAGUGGACACUUCAGCAGUUCUUACUUCCAAGGCUUCCACAAUGUACUUCAUUUAGCCCUUCAAUCAAAAAUAUUCACCAAGUUCCCACCAGGUGCCAGGGAGUGUACAAGGCACUGAGGACCAAGCGAUGAACAAGAUAGGAAAGGUCCCUGCCUGCCCUUAGAGGACUUAACUCUUCAGAGAGACGUGCAGUAAACACGGUGGUGAGCGACAAAGAGGCUGCCUUUGGGAUGAAAACAGUUUUGAAGGAAGUGGGCCUUGAUGUGCCAGAGGAGCAGGGAUGUGGUCCCUGCGUGGUCCAGGUCAUCAGGAGGACGUUUCCCAGGCCUGGUGGGUUUGCUGAGUGCUGGAGUCGAGAACCAGCCAAAGGAAUGUCAUGGGGAGAGGGAAAAGCUAGUGGAAGUCUUUAGCGUGGGAAAAGGCUUGGAGGGAUAAGCAGGGAGGCCCCUGUGACUCGAGGAAAAGGAGAGGAGAGAAUGUGUGGAACAAGAUAAGAGAGAGAGGCCUGGGCCAGAACACACAGAGCCUCCUGGCCACCGCAAAGGGUUAGAACAAAAUUCACAUUGCAACAUGGGCAUGUAAAAACAGUGGGGACAUUUUCUUUUAGUUUCUUAAACAUUAAGGUGUAACUGACAUACAAUAAACUUCAAGAAGUUCCUGGGAAAUGUGUAUUAUGAAAAGACUGCAUGGAUUUUAAAAAUGCACCAAAAUACACUUAUUUUUUCUGUUAGAAUAUUUAUUCAUUUGAAAGGGGUGGAGGGGGAGAGAGAGAGUUUUCCCAUUUCCUGAUUCACUCCCCAAAUGCUAAGAACAGCUGAGGUUGGGGCAGGCCAAAGCCAGGAACCAGGAACUCAGUCCAUGGGUAGCAGGGACCCAACCACUUAAGUCAUUACUGCUGCUUCCCAGGGGCUGCAUUAAUAGGAAGCUGGAAGAGGGAAUGGAGCUGAGACUUUGAACCCAGGCACUCCAAUAGGAGAUGUGGCAGUUCCAAAUGAUUUCUCAACUGCUAUGCCAAACACCAGCCGUAAUGAAAAGGAUUUGUUUCUUGUUAUUUAUAUGAAAGGCAGAAUGAAGGGAGGUAGGGAGACUGAGAGAUCUUCCACUCACUGUUUCAUUUCCCCAAAUGUCUGCAAUGGCCAGGGCUAAACCAGGCUGAAACCAGGAGUUUGAAACUCCAUCUGGGUCUCCCAUGUGGGGAGCAGAGGCCCAAGUACUUGGGCCAUCUUCUGCUGCUUCGCCUAGGCACUUUAGUAGGGAGCUGGGUUGGAAGCAGAGUGGCCAGGACUUGAACUGGCAUGCCAAUAAGGGAUGUUGGUAUUGCAAGUGGUAACUUAACCUGAGGAGUCACAACACUGGCACCUCAACGUUAUCUCUUUUUUUAAGAUUGAUUUUAUUUAUUUGAAUGGCAGAGUUACAGAGAGAGAGCGACGAUGCCAGGAGCCAGGAUCUUCUUCCCAUCUCCCAUUUGGGGGCAAGAGCCCAAGCACUUGGGCCAUCCUCUGCUGCUUUUCCAGGUGCGUUAGCAGACAGUAGGAUAGGAAUUGGGGCAGCAGAGACUUGAAUUGGCGCCCAUAGAGGAUGCUGGUGGCCUUACUCAGUCUGUCACAACACCAGCCCUUCUCUUUCGUUUCCUUUCUUUCUCUCUCUCUCUUUCAAGUAGAUAAAAGUAAAUAAACAUUAAUAACUUAAAAAUAUGGCUUGUGUCAAUCAGCAUAAUUAUUUUGAAAUUCACCCAUGUUGUAUGUUCUGUUUCAUUGUUGAAUCAUAUUUCAUUGUAUGAAUGUGCUACAAUUUGUUUAUGCAUUGAUCCUAUUAUUGAACAUUUUCCCCCAGUUUUUGGUUAUUGCAAAUAAAGCUGCUAGGAACAUUUGUG